rnacentral:rRNA from 1 species
AAGUAGGGAAGCACGUGAGCUGACUGUCAAGAAAAGCCGCUAUUGUUUGCAGGAUACCCGUACCGUAAACCGACACAGGUGGAUGAGGAGAGAAUCCUAAGGCCGACGGGAGAAGCAUUGUUAAGGAACUCGGCAAAAUGACUCCGUAACUUCGGGAGAAGGAGUGCCAGUAAGAUGGCCGCAGAGAAUUGGCCCAAGCAACUGUUUAGCAAAAACACAGGUCUAUGCAAAACCGAAAGGUGAGGUAUAUGGGCUGACGCCUGCCCGGUGCUGGAAGGUUAAGGGGAGAGGUUAGCGCAAGCGAAGCUUCGAACUUAAGCCCCAGUAAACGGCGGCCGUAACAAUAACGGUCCUAAGGUAGCGAAAUUCCUUGUCGGGUAAGUUCCGACCCGCACGAAAGGCGUAAUGAUUUGGGCACUGUCUCAACAAUGCACCCGGUGAAAUUGAAAUACCAGUGAAGAUGCUGGUUACCUGCGCCAGGACGGAAAGACCCCAUGGAGCUUUACUCCAGCUUGAUACUGGGAUUCGGUAUUGCAUGUACAGGAUAGGUGGGAGGCUAGGAAAUGGUAACGCCAGUUGCCAUGGAGCCAAUGUUGGGAUACCACCCUUGCAGUACUGGGUUUCUAACCAUCAGCCGUGAUCCGGCUGGGGGACAAUGUCAGGUGGGGAGUUUGACUGGGGCGGUCGCCUCCGAAAGGGUAUCGGAGGCGCUCAAAGGUUCCCUCAGAAUGGUUGGAAACCAUUCGAAGAGUGCAAAGGCAGAAGGGAGCUUGACUGCGACACCGACGGGUGGAGCAGGUACGAAAGUAGGACUUAGUGAUCCGGUGGUAUAAAGUGGGAUUGCCAUCGCUCAACGGAUAAAAGCUACCCUGGGAUAACAGGCUUAUCACUCCCAAGAGUUCACAUCGACGGAGUGGUUUGGCACCUCGAUGUCGGCUCAUCGCAUCCUGGGGCUGAAGUAGGUCCCAAGGGUUGGGCUGUUCGCCCAUUAAAGCGGUACGCGAGCUGGGUUCAGAACGUCGUGAGACAGUUCGGUCCCUAUCCGGCGUGGGCGUAAGAUAUUUGAGAGGAGCUGUCCUUAGUACGAGAGGACCGGGAUGGACUGGCCGCUGGUGUAUCUGUUGUCUUACCAAAGGCAUAGCAGAGUAGCCAAGCCGGGAAGGGAUAAACGCUGAAGGCAUCUAAGCGUGAAGCCCCCCUCAAGAUGAGAUAUCUCAUAACGUCAAGUUAGUAAGACCCCUUGAAGACGACGAGGUAGAUAGGGCAGUGGUGGAAGUGUGGUAACACAUGGAGCUGACUGUUACUAAUAGGUCGAGGGCAUAACCG